UCGGGAAUUUUGUGCAAUGGGCGAAAGCCUGACACAGCAACGCCGCGUGAAGGAUGAAGUCCCUCGGGAUGUAAACUUCGUAAGAAUAGGAAGAAUAAAUGACGGUACUAUUUGUAAGGUCCGGCUAACUACGUGCCAGCAGCCGCGGUAAUACGUAGGGACCAAGCGUUGUUCGGAUUUACUGGGCGUAAAGGGUGCGUAGGCGGCAUAUCAAGUCACUUGUGAAAUCUCCGGGCUUAACUCGGAACUGCCAAGUGAUACUGAUGUGCUAGAGUGCAGAAAGGGCAACUGGAAUUCUUGGUGUAGCGGUGAAAUGCGUAGAUAUCAAGAGGAACACCUGAGGUGAAGACGGGUUGCUGGGCUGAUACUGACGCUGAGGCGCGAAAGCUAGGGUAGCAAACGGGAUUAGAUACCCACGUAGUCCCUGAGCGGGCUGGCAAGGCGCAU
rnacentral:rRNA from 1 species